AACGAACGCUGGCGGCAGGCUUAACACAUGCAAGUCGAACGCCCCGCAAGGGGAGUGGCAGACGGGUGAGUAACGCGUGGGAAUCUACCCAGUUCUACGGAACAACUGAGGGAAACUUCAGCUAAUACCGUAUACGCCCUACGGGGGAAAGAUUUAUCGGAAUUGGAUGAGCCCGCGUAAGAUUAGCUAGUUGGUGGGGUAAUGGCCUACCAAGGCGACGAUCUUUAGCUGGUCUGAGAGGAUGAUCAGCCACACUGGGACUGAGACACGGCCCAGACUCCUACGGGAGGCAGCAGUGGGGAAUAUUGGACAAUGGGCGCAAGCCUGAUCCAGCCAUGCCGCGUGAGUGAUGAAGGCCUUAGGGUUGUAAAGCUCUUUCAGUGGGGACGAUAAUGACGGUACCUGAGGAGGAAGCCACGGCUAACUACGUGCCAGCAGCCGCAGUAACAC
rnacentral:rRNA from 1 species